UAAGGAAUAUUGGUCAAUGGGCGGGAGCCUGAACCAGCCAUCUCGCGUGAAGGAAGAAGGCGCUAUGCGUCGUAAACUUCUUUUCCAGGGGGAGAAUUUUCCGGUCGUGACCGGAAUUGACGGUACUCUGGGAAUAAGCAUCGGCUAACUCCGUGCCAGUAGCCGCGGUCAUACGGAGGAUGCGAGCGUUAUCCGGAUUUAUUGGGUUUAAAGGGUGCGUAGGCGGAUCAAUAAGUCAGUGGUGAAAUUCUGCAGCUUAACUGUAGACUUGCCAUUGAUACUGUUGGUCUUGGGUGUGGUCGAGGUAGGCGGAAUUUGUAGUGUAGCGGUGAAAUGCGUAGAGAUGACACAGAACACCGAUUGCGAAGGCAGCUUGCUGGGCCAAUACUGACGCUGAUGCACGAAAGCGUGGGGAUCGAACA
rnacentral:rRNA from 1 species